rnacentral:rRNA from 1 species
GCGAACGCUGGCGGCAGGCCUAACACAUGCAAGUCGAACGAACUCUUCGGAGUUAGUGGCGGACGGGUGAGUAACACGUGGGAACGUGCCUUUAGGUUCGGAAUAACUCAGGGAAACUUGUGCUAAUACCGAAUGUGCCCUUCGGGGGAAAGAUUUAUCGCCUUUAGAGCGGCCCGCGUCUGAUUAGCUUGUUGGUGGGGUAAUGGCUCACCAAGGCGACGAUCAGUAGCUGGUCUGAGAGGAUGAUCAGCAUCACUGGGACUGAGACACGGCCCAGACUCCUACGGGAGGCAGCAGUGGGGAAUAUUGGACAAUGGGCGCAAGCCUGAUCCAGCCAUGCCGCGUGGAUGAUGAAGGCCUUAGGGUUGUAAAGUCCUUUUAACGGGGAAGAUAAUGACGGUACCCGUAGAAUAAGCCCCGGCUAACUUCGU